GGUCAGGUGCCGAUUCCCGAACACUGAAGUCACUCGUUUCGCUUUCACACACCAGUACACGCGACAUCCCCACUUCGGUGUGCCUCCACUCUCGGUCACGGGACGAAAACGUAAAUGGAGAUAGGCUAAGAUUCGCCGGAGACACGGGGAACCCCGCCACGCUCAUCUCCGACGUCAUAUACAGUAUAACGGACGCACACACGACGUUUUCAACAGCGAGUGCGGUUUUUAUCUUUUUACUUUCCCCCUAACCGGUGGAUUACGCAUUCAUACGCAAUGUUUUUGGGACUUCAAACAUUUCGUUGACUAAUUUAUGUAGGGAAAUUUCCUGAUUGAAAAACACAGAAUUUUGUGUUCGAUUAGUCAUUGUGGGAAAACUUCAUGGUCCAGUUUUUAGACCCUUUACUCUAUCGUCAUUGAGACAGAAAUCAACCUUGGUGAAACCCUACAAAUGGUCAUGUGAAUCCUCUAGAGAUCAGGGAUUUACUAGAAUUUUACCCAUUUAUCAAUAAUAUUUAGAACGAAAGAAAUUUGAUGGAGGAAUUUACUUCUCCAGCCAUCAAAGUAAUUUUGAAACGUUGUAAAAAUUUCACAUCAUUUUUAGGAAAUAAAUAAUUUACUUGUGA